rnacentral:tRNA from 1 species
GUCAGAAUGGCCGAGCGGUCUAAGGCGCGCUGCGUUCAGGUCGCAGUCUCCAUUGGAGGCGUGGGUUCAAAUCCCACUUCUGACA